GAACGGUAACAGGUCUUCGGAUGCUGACGAGUGGCGAACGGGUGAGUAAUAUAUCGGAACGUGCCUAGUCGUGGGGGAUAACGCAGCGAAAGCUGUGCUAAUACCGCAUACGCCUUACGGGGGAAAGCGGGGGACCUUCGGGCCUCGCGCGAUUGGAGCGGCCGAUAUCAGAUUAGGUUGUUGGUGAGGUAAAAGCUCACCAAGCCGACGAUCUGUAGCUGGUCUGAGAGGACGACCAGCCACACUGGAACUGAGACACGGACCAGACUCC
rnacentral:rRNA from 1 species